CCUGUUACAAUGACUUUCCAUGUCAUUGUCAAAUUGAGCAGCAGACUGAGAAGUCCCAGCUCAUAGGGAAGUCUUGGGCAUUAGUCAGGCCACCAUGGUCUUUCCCUUUGGCACAAAGAGCAGGGCCUGAUCUCAUCUCCAAGGUGUCCAGCUUGCUGCAUUAGCUCCUUCGUGCCCAUAAUUACAGCAUACCUGAAGCUAUGCAGUGCCUCAAAAGCCACGUUAUUGCAGGACCAGGAAUCUGACAACAUUUCUGAUAGGAUACUUGAGAAGUUUCAUUUCUCUCCUGAAGUCCUGAGUGCUAAGAAGCUUAAGCAAUUAUUUGUAUGUUUUAAAUGAAUACAGAUCAAAAAGAAGAGCAGGGUUGGUACGUUCGUGAUUCCAUCAUCAUUCUGUCUCCUUGCUUUCAAGAAGCCAUCAAAGAAGAGCAAAAAUCUGUCAACAGCUUGUGACCAAUGAAAAAAAUCUAAAAAAUCUUAUUUGUUUUAUUUGGCAGUUAUAAUUAUUCUAGGAUAACUGAUAGCAUUUUAAAAUUGAAUAUAAAAUUCCUGUGGGAAAUUUAUACCAACCAGUAAUAAACUGGUUGGACAGCAUUUUGCUUCAUUUGGUCUUUAUCUCACUCCAGGAAUAUAUAUAUUGAACCACCUCCUCCAAUAACUGCAGCAAGACAGCGUCUUCAGCUUUUUAGCUUUCAAGGAGUUAACUGAGUAGCUCAAGAAACCAAGCAAGCACUGUGAUGCUAUCAUUUACUGCUGAAGGGGGUCAAGAGGACAACUGGUUGCACAUCCUCUUGCAAAUCCCCCAAGCCGAUAUUUCUGAGGUCUAAAGUGGAAAUUAUUUCUGUGGAGCUGAUGGAUUUGACUUUAAUUUUUUCUUAGCAUCCAUUUUCAUGCGGGUUCUAGGAAACACAUCAGACUUAUUUGUCAUCUGGAUGAGACCUGGUUCUUCCUUUAGUUGAGACAAUUGAGAUUGAAAGUUCCUUUAUGAGA